GACGAACCGAGCAAACGUUAUUCGGAAUCACUGGGCUUAAAGGGCGCGUAGGCGGGCCAUCAAGUCUGUGGUGAAAUCCUCCAGCUUAACUGGAGAACGGCCGCGGAUACUGGUGGUCUCGAGGAAGGUAAGGGCAUCUGGAACUGGUGGUGGAGCGGUGAAAUGCGUUGAUAUCAUCAGGAACACCGGUGGCGAAGGCGGCUGCCUGGCCUAGAACUGACGCUGAGGUGCGAAAGCGUGGGGAGCGAACGGGA
rnacentral:rRNA from 1 species